rnacentral:rRNA from 1 species
CAGCCGCCACGGGAAUACAGAGGGUGCGAGCGUUAAUCGGAUUUACUGGGCGUAAAGCGUGCGUAGGCGGCUUUUUAAGUCGGAUGUGAAAUCCCUGAGCUUAACUUAGGAAUUGCAUUCGAUACUGGGAAGCUAGAGUAUGGGAGAGGAUGGUAGAAUUCCAGGUGUAGCGGUGAAAUGCGUAGAGAUCUGGAGGAAUACCAAUGGCGAAGGCAGCCAUCUGGCCUAAUACUGACGCUGAGGUACGAAAGCAUGGGGAGCAAACAGGAUUAGAUACCCCGGUAGUCCCUGUCUCUUAUAC